rfam:Schistosoma curassoni strain Dakar, Senegal genome assembly, scaffold: SCTD_contig0000964
AUCCAGCUGAUGAGUCUCAAACAGGAGGAAAAGCGCGUCCUGGAU